rnacentral:rRNA from 1 species
GAUGAACGCUAGCUACAGGCUUAACACAUGCAAGUCGAGGGGAAACGAUAUUGGAAGCUUGCUUCCGAUAGGCGUCGACCGGCGCACGGGUGAGUAACGCGUAUCCAACCUGCCCAUCACUUGGGGAUAACCUUGCGAAAGUAAGACUAAUACCCAAUGAUAUUUAUAGAAGGCAUCCGAAAUGAAUUAAAGAUUUAUCGGUGAUGGAUGGGGAUGCGUCUGAUUAGCUUGGUGGCGGGGUAACGGCCCACCAAGGCGACGAUCAGUAGGGGUUCUGAGAGGAAGGUCCCCCACAUUGGAACUGAGACACGGUCCAAACUCCUACGGGAGGCAGCAGUGAGGAAUAUUGGUCAAUGGGCGAGAGCCUGAACCAGCCAAGUAGCGUGCAGGAUGACGGCCCUAUGGGUUGUAAACUGCUUUUAUAGGGGAAUAAAGUGAGCCACGUGUGGUUUUUUGCAUGUACCCUAUGAAUAAGGACCGGCUAAUUCCGUGCCAGCCGCCGCCGUAAAAC